rnacentral:misc_RNA from 1 species
UGAUGGCCGGCUGCUCCAAGCUUC